rnacentral:rRNA from 1 species
GACGAACGCUGGCGGCGUGCCUAAUACAUGCAAGUUGAGCGCUGAAGGUUGGUACUUGUACCAACUGGAUGAGCAGCGAACGGGUGAGUAACGCGUGGGGAAUCUGCCUUUGAGCGGGGGACAACAUUUGGAAACGAAUGCUAAUACCGCAUAAAAACUUUAAACACAAGUUUUAAGUUUGAAAGAUGCAAUUGCAUCACUCAAAGAUGAUCCCGCGUUGUAUUAGCUAGUUGGUGAGGUAAAGGCUCACCAAGGCGAUGAUACAUAGCCGACCUGAGAGGGUGAUCGGCCACAUUGGGACUGAGACACGGCCCAAACUCCUACGGGAGGCAGCAGUAGGGAAUCUUCGGCAAUGGACGAAAGUCUGACCGAGCAACGCGGCGUGAGUGAAGAAGGUUUUCGGAUCGUAAAACUCUGUUGGUAGAGAAGAACGUUGGUGAGAGUGGAAAGCUCAUCAAGUGACGGUAACUACCCAGAAAGGGACGGCUAACUACGUG